GUCAGGAUGGCCAACAGGUCUAAGGUGCUGCGUUUAGGCCGCAGUCUCCCCCUGGAGGCGUGGGUUCAAAUCCCACUUCUGACA